UAAGUCUGGGGUGUAAUGGUGAGGUAGUUUACUACCGAAAUAUCUGAUUUCAUGCUGCCAAGAAAAGUCUCUAUCCAGGAGCUCUGUGCCCGUACCGCAAACCGACACAGGUAGGUGAGGAGAGAAUCCUAAGACCAUCGGAAGAAUUGCUGUUAAGGAACUCGGCAAAUUGACCCCGUAACUUCGGGAGAAGGGGUGCCUACGAGAGUAGGUCGCAGAGAAUAGGCCCAAGCAACUGUUUAUCAAAAACACAGGUUUCUGCUAAAGCGAAAGCUGAAGUAUAGGAGCUGACGCCUGCCCGGUGCUGGAAGGUUAAGGGGAAUGCUUAGCGCAAGCGAAGGCAUGAACUUAAGCCCCAGUAAACGGCGGCCGUAACUAUAACGGUCCUAAGGUAGCGAAAUUCCUUGUCGGGUAAGUUCCGACCCGCACGAAUGGCGUAAUGAUUUGGGCACUGUCUCAACAGCAAAUCCGGCGAAAUUGUAGUGCAAGUGAAGAUGCUUGCUACCCGCGAUUGGACGGAAAGACCCCGUAGAGCUUUACUGUAUCUUAGCAUUGAAUCUCGGUAUUGUCUGUACAGAAUAGGUGGGAGACUUGGAAGCAGUUCCGUCAGGGAUUGUGGAGUCGUCUUUGGGAUACCACCCUGACAGUACUGGGGUUCUAACCGGAGGCCAUGAAACUGGUCACGGGACAUAGCUAGGAGGGCAGUUUGACUGGGGCGGUCGCCUCCUAAAAAGUAACGGAGGCGCCCAAAGGUUCCCUCAGCGCGGUUGGAAACCGCGCGUAGAGUGCAAAGGCAGAAGGGAGCCUGACUGCGACACAAACAAGUGGAGCAGAGACGAAAGUCGGGCUUAGUGAUCCGGUGACACCUCGUGGGAGGGUCAUCGCUCAACGGAUAAAAGCUACCUCGGGGAUAACAGGCUGAUCUCCCCCAAGAGUCCACAUCGACGGGGAGGUUUGGCACCUCGAUGUCGGCUCGUCGCAUCCUGGGGCUGAAGUAGGUCCCAAGGG
rnacentral:rRNA from 1 species